rnacentral:rRNA from 1 species
GAUGAACGCUGGCGGCGUGCCUAAUACAUGCAAGUCGAGCGAACGGACGAGAAGCUUGCUUCUCUGAUGUUGGCGGCGGACGGGUGAGUAACACGUGGAUAACCUACCUAUAAGACUGGGAUAACUUCGGGAAACCGGAGCUAAUACCGGAUGAUAUUUUGAACCGCAUGGUUCAAAAGUGAAAGACGGUCUUGCUGUCACUUAUAGAUGGAUCCGCGCUGCAUUAGCUAGUUGGUAAGGUAACGGCUUACCAAGGCAACGAUGCAUAGCCGACCUGAGAGGGUGAUCGGCCACACUGGAACUGAGACGCGGUCCAGACUCCUACGGGAGGCAGCAGUAGGGAAUCUUCCGCAAUGGGCGAAAGCCUGACGGAGCAACGCCGCGUGAGUGAUGAAGGUCUUCGGAUCGUAAAACUCUGUUAUUAGGGAAGAACAUAUGUGUAAGUAACUGUGCACAUCUUGACGGUACCUAAUCAGAAAGCCACGGCUAACUACGUG